rnacentral:rRNA from 1 species
GUCCAGACUCCUACGGGAGGCAGCAGUGGGGAAUAUUGGACAAUGGGCGAAAGCCUGAUCCAGCCAUGCCGCAUGAGUGAAGAAGGCCUUUGGGUUGUAAAGCUCUUUUAGUGAGGAAGAUAAUGACGGUACUCACAGAAGAAGUCCUGGCUAACUCCGUGCCAGCAGCCGCGGUAAUACGGAGAGGGCUAGCGUUAUUCGGAAUUAUUGGGCGUAAAGGGCGCGUAGGCGGAUUAGUAAGUUAAAAGUGAAAUCCCAAGGCUCAACCUUGGAAUUGCUUUUAAAACUGCUAAUCUAGAGAUUGAAAGAGGAUAGAGGAAUUCCUAGUGUAGAGGUGAAAUUCGUAAAUAUUAGGAGGAACACCAGUGGCGAAGGCGUCUAUCUGGUUCAAAUCUGACGCUGAGGCGCGAAGGCGUGGGGAGCAAACAGGAUUAGAUACCCUGGUAGUCCACGCUGUAAACGAUGAAUGUUAAAUAUGGGAAGUUUUACUUUCUGUAUUACAGCUAACGCGUUAAACAUUCCGCCUGGGGACUACGGUCGCAAGAUUAAAACUCAAAGGAAUUGACGGGGACCCGCACAAGCGGUGGAGCAUGUGGUUUAAUUCGAUGCAACGCGAAAAACCUUACCACUCCUUGACAUGGAAAUUAUACCUAUUCGAAGGGAUAGGGUCGGUUCGGCCGGGUUUCACACAGGUGUUGCAUGGCUGUCGUCAGCUCGUGUCGUGA